GAUGAACGCUGGCGGUAUGCUUAACACAUGCAAGUCGAACGGACUCUUCGGAGUUAGUGGCGGACGGGUGAGUAACGCGUGAGAAUCUGGCUUUGGGUUCGGGACAACCACUGGAAACGGUGGCUAAUACCGGAUGUGCCGAGAGGUAAAAGAGAAAUUGCCUGAGGAUGAACUCGCGUCUGAUUAGCUAGUUGGUGAGGUAAAGGCUCACCAAGGCAGCGAUCAGUAGCUGGUCUGAGAGGAUGACCAGCCACACUGGGACUGAGACACGGCCCAGACUCCUACGGGAGGAAGCAGUGGGGAAUUUUCCGCAAUGGGCGAAAGCCUGACGGAGCAAUACCGCGUGAGGGAAGAAGGCUCUUGGGUUGUAAACCUCUUUUCUUAGGGAAGAACAAAAUGACGGUACCUAAGGAAUCAGCAUCGGCUAACUCCGUG
rnacentral:rRNA from 1 species